UGGGAACGUGCCCAAGGUCACACAGAAAUUGGCAGAACCACGAUGAAGUGUAAAAUGUCUUCCAGUUCUGGCUAGGCCAGGGAGGUCCCUGCCCUCCGACUCCUUCGUGCGCCGGGACUCGGGCGGGGUUGGUGGGGCGCACGCUUUGGGGCGGGUUGCGGGGGCCUGGAGGUGGGGCCGUGAACGCAGAAGGCCGCUGCAUGGGCUCAGGGCUUAAUUAGAGCUGGAAGUCCGAGGGGUGCCUGACCAGUGGAAAGAAGCCUAGGAAGGCUUCUGGGCUGGGGGCAGGUUCCUUGGUGGUGGACCUUGGAGCGUGCGGGGCUGAGGAUGCCGGAACUGCUAAGACGUGUUCUGCUGAGAUUUUAUUUGACACAGAGAGAGAGAACAAACUGGGGAUAGUAGCAGAGGGAGCGGGGGAAGCAGGCUCCCCACUGAGCAAAGAGCUCAGAUGCCAGGGCUUCAUCCCAGGACCCCAGGAUCAUGACCUGAGCCAGAGGCAGAUGCUUGACUGACUGAGCCACCCAGAGAGACACAGCGAGAGAGAGAACACAAGCUGGGGGAGUGGAAGAGGGAGAAGCAGGCUUCCCACUGAGCAGGGAGCCUCAUGUGGGACUCAAUCUCAGGACCCUGGGAUCAUGACCUGAGCCGAAGGCAGACGCUUAAGGACUGAGCCACCCAGGCGCCCCAAGAGUUUACUAUCUUCUGUUUUUUGUUUUUCUCAGGUCUCCUUUUGCUGUAUAUUUCAUUCUGAUAUGUUCAGAAAACUCAGUCUCUAGAUACUGCUUACUGUCACCAUCUCCUAUACGCUACUCCCAAUGCCUGUGUGUGAACGUGUAAUUUAUAUUCCAGAUCCUGUGGCAGGGAUCACAGAGCUCUUGAAAGAAAGAGGCAAAAGUUAGGAGAAGGAAGAGAAUAUGAACAGCAGCUGGCAGUUUUUAUUUAUGGGAUUUUUGAAGUUUGACCAUAUACCUCAAUUACCUUAGUUCUUUGGACUUUGAUCCGUUUCCCAUGCUGACACAGCACUGCUCUAUCUAGGGUUUUUUUUGUUUUGUAAAAACAUGCCAAAAUACUCACUUAUCUUGUCAUCCAUGUUAGUUUCCCUUAAAGCAUUUGGUAGUAUUUGUAAUGGUGACACUGCCCCACUUAGUCUUCGGAGAUUCCUGUAGUUUCCUUGAUGACAGGGAAAAUAUUUUGUAGAGAAUGUAGUUAAUUUUUUUAAGUCAAGCUGAUAAUUUAAUUUGACCUCGCAGAAGAUCUAAUCUCAAAUCCUCUAAGACAUAAUGAGUAAGUGGGUGGCACAAGACUCCUAAAAUACUGAAUAUGUUAUAAAUAGAGCAAAUCUACCUGGUAUGUAUUAGACACAAAUAUAAGAGCACCUUGAAUCAGGUUGAUUUUUAUGGAUUUUUAUUUAUCAGAUGACUGAAAUGUAUAUAUAAAGCAAUGUGUUUAUUUUGAAAUGUAGUGAACCAUUUUAUUUUUAGUAUGGUGUAUUAAGGAAAGAAUUUCAGGCAGCUCUUAUCUCUGCUAAUAAUAGAAACUUUUUCACCCCUUUAAGGGAACAGUAUUCUUGCUUAAGUGCUCUCUUAUGUUUAACCAUGUUUGCCUUGCCUCUGAUAAAUUUUACCAUAUUUCUUUAGACGGUGCCUUUGUUUUUAAAGUGGUAAUAAUCCUUUUAAUUUUGCCCUUAGAUUUUUUUUAAACAAAUUUUUAUAUGGUUAAAGAGAUUAUCCUGUCUUGCAAUAAACGUGUCAUUCUGAAUGCCAGUGUGUUGACUUAUAUAGAUGCUUUUUUCAGAAUUUUUUCUUCAUAUUAUUCAUGUAAUUUUAUGUAGUAUUAAAACAUGAGUCAUGUGUUCUCAUUUAACAUCACUCAACUCCUAAAGUAUAAAUUAGUUACAAGGUAGUUAUAAAGCUGUCAUAAUUGAAAAUCAUGAUUUAAAAAUUUUAAAUAUACCAUAAAUUGUUUCCAAAUUCUUACUUUGCUUGAUAAAUACCAUAAAUAUUAGUUAAUUUCAUUUUCUUUUUAAAUGUGCUUGAGUAUGACUUGGCACUAUAAAGUAUUCCAUAAUUCACUUCUCCCAGACUUAGUUAAUGAAAUAAUAAAAACCAAUAUAUAUUUAACAUUUACUGUGUUUAGUCAUGUUGGAUUUAAAGCAAAAUAUUUUUACUUGUGGCAAUGAUACUACUACAGAUGAUUUACUAAUUUAAAACAAAGUGGGAAGUAAUCAUCAAGAAUUUACUUAAAUGAGUCUUGUCCCACAUUUGAAUUCGAAGCCAAGUAUAUGAUAAAUCUACCUUUUAGUCAGAUUUACACCAGGCUGUACUUAGUGCUCUACUAAUUCACAGUUAGAUAAUGUAACAGGUAUACUAUAUGCUGUAAACUUGAUUUCAGCAAGAAUUUGACUUUAUGUCUUACAAUAGCUUUGUGGAUAAGAUGAAGAAAUGUGCUCUAUAUGGCUUAUUGCUGCUGAAUAACUAUUCCCAAGGAAAUUAGGUGUCAUCCUAAAGGGAAAUCUUGGACAUUGACUCUAAUAGUAAGGAUAGUAAUAUUUCUUAUUUGGGCUGGUACAAAGCUAGAUGAGGUGAUUAAUAGACAAAUUACAGAAGCAGAAUUUAAAUUUAUAUCAACUCUUGGAUUGCUAGGCAAAACCCAAGAAGGUGAAAUUUAAUAGGGACAAGUGUCAAAUCUAGCACUUAAGUUAAAAACAGAAAACAGGAGCAUAAAAGUAAAACAGUUGAUAGUAGUUCCUGAAAUGCUGGAGUUUUAACUGACCACAAGCUUAGGAAGUAUAUGUUUUGAGUGCUUUAAAUGUAAAAAUUGUUGUUAGAAUGGAAACAGAUGUGUAUUAAUUGGUAGUUUUAUAGGUAGCAUAGUUCCUGCUGUACUUUGGAUUAAGCUAAAGUUUGAAUAUUGAGUUCAUUUCUUGUUGCUACAAUUUGAAAAACUUAGCCAAUUACAUUUCAUUCAGAGAAUGACCAAUAAG